ACUAACGCUGACGGUAUGCCUUAUACAUGCAAGUCGAACGGAAAGGCUCUUCGGAGUACUCGAGUGGCGGACGGGUGAGUAACGCGUAGGAAUAUGCCCCAAGAUGGGGGAUAACUAGGAGAAAUCUUAGCUAAUACCCCAUAUGUCGAAAGAUCAAAGCAGUAAUGCGUCUUGGGAGUAGCCUGCGUCUGAUUAGCUAGUUGGUAGGGUAAAAGCCUACCAAGGCGACGAUCAGUAGCUGGUCUGAGAGGAUGAUCAGCCACAAUGGGACUGAGAUACGGCCCAUACUCUUACGGGAGGCAGCAGUAGGGAAUUUUGCGCAAUGGACGAAAGUCUGACGCAGCGAUACCGUGUGUAGGAAGACGCUCUGUGGAGUGUAAACUACUGUCGGAUGGAACGAAUAAAUGACUGUACCAUCAAAGGAAGCACCGGCUAACUCUGU
rnacentral:rRNA from 1 species